rnacentral:rRNA from 1 species
GACGAACCGUGCGAACGUUGUUCGGAUUCACUGGGCUUAAAGGGCGCGUAGGCGGUUUACCAAGUCGGGGUUGAAAUCUUUCGGCCUAACCGGAAAAGUGGCUUCGAUACUGGUAGACUGGAGGGAGGUAGGGCAGAUGGAACUUCCGGUGGAGCGGUGAAAUGUGUUGAUGAUCGGAAGGAACGCCGGUGGCGAAAGCGAUCUGCUGGACCUCUUCUGACGCUGAGGCGCGAAGCCAGGGAGCAAACGGG